AACGAACGCUGGCGGCAGGCCUAACACAUGCAAGUCGAACGCCGUAGCAAUACGGAGUGGCAGACGGGUGAGUAACGCGUGGGAACAUACCCCUCGGUUCGGAAUAACUCAGGGAAACUUGAGCUAAUACCGGAUACGUCCGAGGUUUUGAUCGACCUUGGAGAAAGAUUUAUCGCCGAAGGAUUGGCCCGCGUCUGAUUAGCUUGUUGGUGAGGUAAUGGCUCACCAAGGCGACGAUCAGUAGCUGGUCUGAGAGGAUGAUCAGCCACAUUGGGACUGAGACACGGCCCAAACUCCUACGGGAGGCAGCAGUGGGGAAUAUUGGACAAUGGGCGAAAGCCUGAUCCAGCCAUGCCGCGUGAGUGAUGAAG
rnacentral:rRNA from 1 species